GUGCUUGCUUUGGUAGCACAUAUGGUAAAACUGAAUGCAAAGAUUAGUGAAGACUAGCAUGGCCCCUGAAUAAAGAUAACAGACCAAUUUGUGAUACAUUCCUAUUUUUA
ensembl:snRNA U6 U6 spliceosomal RNA